rnacentral:tRNA from 1 species
GGUCCCUUAGCUCAACUGGUUAGAGCUUUGUACUUAUAAUGCAAGGGUUCCGAGUUCGAUCCUCGGAGGGACCA